GUGGGGAAUCUUGCGCAAUGGGCGAAAGCCUGACGCAGCCAUGCCGCGUGGAUGAUGAAGGUCUUAGGAUUGUAAAAUCCUUUCACCGGUGAAGAUAAUGACUGUAGCCGGAGAAGAAGCCCCGGCUAACUUCGUGUCAGCAGCCGCGGUAAUACGAAGGGGGCUAGCGUUGCUCGGAAUUACUGGGCGUAAAGGGAGCGUAGGCGGACAUUUAAGUCAGGGGUGAAAUCCCGAGGCUCAACCUCGGAACUGCCUUUGAUACUGGCUGUCUUGAGUUUGGGAGAGGUGAGUGGAACUCCGAGUGUAGAGGUGAAAUUCGUAGAUAUUCGGAAGAACACCAGUGGCGAAGGCGACUCACUGGCCCAAUACUGACGCUGAGGCGCGAAAGCGUGGGGAGCAAACAGGAUUAGAAACCCCGGUAGUCC
rnacentral:rRNA from 1 species